ACAGCAGUCGCCGCGGGAACACAGAGGGUGCGAGCGUUAAUCGGAAUUACUGGGCGUAAAGGGCGCGUAGGCGGUGAGAUGUGUGUGGUGUGAAAGCCCCGGGCUUAACCUGGGAAGUGCAUCGCAAACUAUCUGACUGGAGUAUAUGAGAGGGUGGCGGAAUUUCCGGUGUAGCGGUGAAAUGCGUUGAGAUCGGAAAGAACGCCAACGGCGAAAGCACUCUGCUGGGCCGACACUGACACUGAGAGACGAAAGCUAGGGGAGCAAAUAGGAUUAGAUACCCCUGUAGUCCCUGUCUCUUAUAC
rnacentral:rRNA from 1 species